rnacentral:rRNA from 1 species
GACGAACGCUGGCGGCGUGCUUAACACAUGCAAGUCGAACGGUAAGGCCCUGCUUUUGUGGGGUGCUCGAGUGGCGAACGGGUGAGUAACACGUGAGUAACCUGCCCUUGACUUUGGGAUAACUUCAGGAAACUGGGGCUAAUACCGGAUAGGAGCUCCUGCUGCAUGGUGGGGGUUGGAAAGUUUCGGCGGUUGGGGAUGGACUCGCGGCCUAUCAGCUUGUUGGUGGGGUAGUGGCUUACCAAGGCUUUGACGGGUAGCCGGCCUGAGAGGGUGACCGGCCACAUUGGGACUGAGAUACGGCCCAGACUCCUACGGGAGGCAGCAGUGGGGAAUAUUGCACAAUGGGCGGAAGCCUGAUGCAGCAACGCCGCGUGCGGGAUGACGGCCUUCGGGUUGUAAACCGCUUUCGCCUGUGACGAAGCGUGAGUGACGGUAAUGGGCAAAGAAGCACCGGCUAACUACGUG